rnacentral:tRNA from 2 species
GCCGUUUUAGCUCAGUUGGCAGAGCGCCGCACUUGUAAUGCGAAGGUCGCGAGUUCGAUUCUCGCAAACGGCUCCA